UUUCUCUCAGGGUCACACAUGGAGAGUUUCCAGUAUUUUACUAGUCUCAGCUAUGGGAGGGAGAGUUAGGCAGAGGUAUACCCAUUCCAUUCCUAGCUUGGGCAGUGGCUAGUGAGUGGAAGGCAAUCUGCUACAAGU
rnacentral:snoRNA from 1 species